rnacentral:misc_RNA from 1 species
AACAUCGCGCACCUGCGGGAACCUGCGGAGGGAUCAUUAAUGAUUGGUGGCUGUUGCUGACUAGUGUUUCUAGUAUGUGCACGCCACACCUUCAAUCCCACUUACACCUGUGCACCUUCUGUAAUAGAUCUAUGUGGAUACGGAGACAUGAAAGUUUGCGCUCUCGUACUCUGUUGAAGCAGUCUACUACGUUUUUUUACACACACACAAUAGUCAUUGAAUGUAUUUUUUAUUCUUAUG